GACGAACGCUGGCGGCGUGCUUAACACAUGCAAGUCGAGCGGUAAGGCCCUUUCGGGGGUACACGAGCGGCGAACGGGUGAGUAACACGUGGGUGACCUGCCCUCAGCUCUGGGAUAAGCCUGGGAAACCGGGUCUAAUACCGGAUAUGACUCCAUGACGCAUGUUGUGGGGUGGAAAGCCUUGUGCGGCUGAGGAUGGGCCCGCGGCCUAUCAGCUUGUUGGUGGGGUGAUGGCCUACCAAGGCGACGACGGGUAGCCGGCCUGAGAGGGCGACCGGCCACACUGGGACUGAGACACGGCCCAGACUCCUACGGGAGGCAGCAGCGGGGAAUCUUGCGCAAUGGGCGAAAGCCUGACGCAGCGACGCCGCGUGAGGGAUGACGGCCUGGUGU
rnacentral:rRNA from 1 species